rnacentral:rRNA from 1 species
AUUGAACGCUGGCGGCGUGCCUAAUACAUGCAAGUCGAGCGAAUGAAUUAAGAGCUUGCUCUUAUGAAGUUAGCGGCGGACGGGUGAGUAACACGUGGGUAACCUGCCCAUAAGACUGGGAUAACUCCGGGAAACCGGGGCUAAUACCGGAUAACAUUUUGAACCGCAUGGUUCGAAAUUGAAAGGCGGCUUCGGCUGUCACUUAUGGAUGGACCCGCGUCGCAUUAGCUAGUUGGUGAGGUAACGGCUCACCAAGGCAACGAUGCGUAGCCGACAUGAGAGGGUGAUCGGCCACACUGGGACUGAGACACGGCCCAGACUCCUACGGGAGGCAGCAGUAGGGAAUCUUCCGCAAUGGACGAAAGUCUGACGGAGCAACGCCGCGUGAGUGAUGAAGGCUUUCGGGUCGUAAAACUCUGUUGUUAGGGAAGAACAAGUGCUAGUUGAAUAAGCUGGCACCUUGACGGUACCUAACCAGAAAGCCACGGCUAACUACGUGCCAGCCGCCGCGGUAA